AGCUUUCUGUAUCCGUGCUGAGACUUCGUCACACACCAGACCACAAGGGCUGAUGAGACUUCCAAGAUAAGUGAAGCG
rfam:Schistosoma curassoni strain Dakar, Senegal genome assembly, scaffold: SCTD_scaffold0004918